GGAAAAUCGCAGUGAAGGAUUAGGCAAGGGUCGCUGUUGGUUGUGGCAGAGAGAUGGAAUUUUACAAGGUGAGGAUCUUGUGCUAAGGCUCUCCAAGUUCUGCAAACACACUUGAAUUGCACCAAAGAAGAGAUGGGUAAUCUUGAAAGUAUAUCGUGGAUGAUCUCAUGUGGCAGAUGUUCCAUUCCAGUUGUUGGUGGAUCAUCUUCAAGGUUGCUCCUCAUCCGCCUCCUCUUGCCAUGGUUUUCAACAUGCAACAAGUCCAUGACUGGUGGAGAGAUAGAGAGAGAGAGAGAGAGGCAGUGUCUGUAGAACAAGAGAAAAAUAAGGAUCAAAAGAAGAAGGGGCAGGCUAGGAGAUGGAGAUAAACAUGGUGG
rnacentral:misc_RNA from 1 species